UCUUGGGAACUGAGCAUAAUACUCCAUAGACCACUACGCCUGGAACAGUGAGUGGUUCAAAGCUUUAGCGGCACAGGAUGGGUCUGCGGCGUAUCAGGUCGUAGGGGGUGUAAUGGACCCCCUAGCCAUCGACGCGUACGGGUUGUGGGAGCAAUAGCCCGGAGACGGAUUCUGAGACACGAAUCCGGACCCUACGGGGUGCAGCAGGCGCGAAAACUUCACACUGCAGGAAACUGUGAUGAGGGAACUCCAAGUGACUGCACAUUGUGUAGCCUUUUCUUGACUGUUAACAAGUCUUGGAAUAAGGGCUGGGAAAGACCGGUGCCAGCCGCCGCGGUAAUACCGGCAGCUCGAGUGGUCGUCGCUUUUAUUGGGCCUAAAACGUCCGUAGCCUGUUCAGUAAACCCGUGGGUAAAUCAACCAGCUUAACUGGUUGAAUUCUGCGGAGACUGCUGGACUAGGGACCGGGAGAGGUAUGAGGUACUCUCAGGGUAGGGGUAAAAUCCUGUCAUCCUGAGAGGACCACCUGUUGCGAAGGCGUCAUACUGGAACGGAUCCGACGGUCAGGGACGAAGCCUAGGGGCACGAACCGGAUUAGAUACCCGGGUAGUCCUAGGUGUAAACGCUGUGGACUUGGUGUUGGAGAUCCGCAAUGGGUCUUCAGUGCCGCAGCGAAGGUGUUAAGUCCACUGCCUGGGGAGUACGGUCGCAAGGCUGAAACUUA
rnacentral:rRNA from 1 species